GCCGGUGUAGCUCAGUUGGUAGAGCAGUUGAUUUGUAAUCAUCAGGUCGUAAGUUCGAGUCUUAUCACCGGCUCCA
rnacentral:tRNA from 4 species